CCCUUAGACACUCUAGGCGGCACGCGCGCUACACUGGGUGGAAGAACGUGUUACUGCCAUCGAAAGGUGGGGUGAAUCACGAAUUCUUGCCCGUGAAUGGGAUAGUUUGUUGCAAUUUUCGGACUUGAACUAGGAAUCCCUUGUAAGCAUGCUCAAGAAUAGCGUGUUGAAUACGUCCCUGCCGUUUGUACACACCGCCCGUCGUUUCUUCCGACUGAUACUCAUUGUGAGUUGCAAGGAUCCUUCAUUGGAGAAGUGCCGCGAAUGCUUUGUAUUGGAGGAAGAAAAAGUCGUAACA
rnacentral:rRNA from 1 species